CUACGGGUUGCAGCAGUGAGGAAUUUUGCGCAAUGGGGGAAACCCUGACGCAGCAACGCCGCGUGAGCGAAGAAGGCCUUCGGGUCGUAAAGCUCUGUCAAGUGGGAAAAAAAUUCUUUGAUGAACAGUCAAAGGACUUGAUGGUACCACUGGAGGAAGCACCGGCUAACUCCGUGCCAGCAGCCGCGGUAAUACGGAGGGUGCAAGCGUUGUUCGGAAUUACUGGGCGUAAAGAGCGUGUAGGCGGUUUGACAAGUCAGAUGUGAAAGCCCCGGGCUCAACCCGGGAAGUGCAUUUGAAACUGUUUCACUCGAGUAUGGGAGAGGAGAGUGGAAUUCCUGGUGUAGAGGUGAAAUUCGUAGAUAUCAGGAGGAACACCCGUGGCGAAGGCGAUUCUCUGGACCAAUACUGACGCUGAGACGCGAAGGCGUGGGGAGCAAACAGGAUUAGAUACCCGAGUAGUC
rnacentral:rRNA from 1 species